UUAUGGCCAUACUAUGUUGAAACACCGGUUCUCGUAAGAUCACCUACGUUAAGCAACGUCGAGCCUGGUCAGUACAACGAUGGUUGGUCGCUUGGGAAUACCAUGCGUUGUAG